UAAUUUAAUUUUUUUUAUUAGGAGCUUUUUGGAUCAAAUUAUGGUUUAUCAAACAAGGGGAUUAGGCUACAUAUGAAGCUACCAAAAAAAAGCUAAAGGCUUAAUAGGGGUUGACGAGGAUAAUGAAUAAUGGGUAGGUAAAAGAAGGUAUAAAAUAAGGCUAUAAAAGAAAUACCUAUAUCAUCUCCUAAACCACAUUCUUUAUUUCGCUUUAUACACAUCCCAG
rnacentral:lncRNA from 1 species